rnacentral:rRNA from 1 species
GUGAGGAAUUUUCCGCAAUGGGCGAAAGCCUGACGGAGCAAUGCCGCGUGAAGGAUGAAGGCCUAUGGGUUGUAAACUUCUUUUCUCAGAAAAGAAUUAUGACGGUAUCUGAGGAAUAAGCAUCGGCUAACUCUGUGCCAGCAGCCGCGGUAAGACAGAGGAUGCAAGCGUUAUCCGGAAUGAUUGGGCGUAAAGCGUCUGUAGGUUGUUUAAAAAGUAUUCUGUCAAAGAUUAGGGCUUAACCCUAGAUAGGCAGAAUAAACUUUUAAGCUAGAGUUUGGUAGAGGCAGAGGGAAUUCCCGGUGGAGCGGUGAAAUGCGGAGAUAUCAGGAGGAACACCAAAGGCGAAGGCACUCUGCUGGGCCAAUACUAACACUGAGAGACGAAAGCGAGGGGAGCAAAUGGGAUUAGAAACCCGUGUAGUCC